UAGCGGCAGGCUUAACACAUGCAAGUCGAGGGGUAACAGGAGAAAGCUUGCUUUUUUGCUGACGACCGGCGAACGGGUGCGUAACGCGUAUAGAAUCUGCCUUGUACAGGAGGAUAGCCUUUAGAAAUGAAGAUUAAUACUCCAUAAUGUAGAGUAGUGGCAUCGCUAUUUUAUUAAAGAUUUAUUGGUACAAGAUGACUAUGCGUCCUAUUAGCUAGAUGGUAAGGUAACGGCUUACCAUGGCGACGAUAGGUAGGGGGUCUGAGAGGAUUAUCCCCCACACUGGUACUGAGACACGGACCAGACUCCUACGGGAGGCAGCAGUGAGGAAUAUUGGUCAAUGGAGGCAACUCUGAACCAGCCAUGCCGCGUGCAGGAAGACUGCCCUAUGGGUUGUAAACUGCUUUUAUACAGGAAGAAACAGACCUACGUGUACGGCCUUGACGGUACUGUAAGAAUAAGCACCGGCUAACUCCGUGCCAGCAGCCGC
rnacentral:rRNA from 1 species